UACAGGGGGGGGCAAGCGUUGUUCGGAAUUACUGGGCGUAAAGGGUGCGCAGGCGGCCGUGUGUGUGAGGCGUGAAAGCCUGGAGCUUAACUCCAGAAUUGCACCUCAAACUACACGGCUAGAGCAUUGGAGAGGGUAGCAGAAUUCACGGUGUAGCAGUGAAAUGCGUAGAUAUCGUGAGGAAUACCAGAGGCGAAAGCGGCUCACUGGACCACAACUGACGCUGAGGCGCGAAAGCUAGGGGAGCAAACAGG
rnacentral:rRNA from 1 species